CGUUAGUGGAAAUCAGAAUUAGUGAUUAAAAAACAAGGGGUAAAAUGAUAAUUGCAAGGUCAGAGAAGGAUAUAAUCACAAUUAAUUUUCAGGGUUAAUUGUGAUUAUACCCAUCUCUCACCUUGCAAUUGUGAUUUUACCCCUCGUUUUAUUUUAUUUUAUUCACGAAUUCUGAUUUUCACUAACG